AGAUAUGAUAGAGGCGCGGGCUUUAUCAGUACCAUUUGGGCAAAGGAACAGGACAGCCGUCCAUAUGGGAAAGGAAAGACCGCCGAAGAAUUGUUUCCCGGUCCGGGGAAGCUUUUCUGGGGCGUAGCAGAAUAUGCUGCGGACUGUCACAAGGAUGUGGAGCGCUAUCUGUAAU
rfam:Clostridium sp. KLE 1755 genomic scaffold Scaffold111, whole genome shotgun sequence.